rnacentral:rRNA from 1 species
AGUGAACGCUGGCGGUAGGCCUAACACAUGCAAGUCGAACGGCAGCACAGUAAGAGCUUGCUCUUACGGGUGGCGAGUGGCGGACGGGUGAGGAAUACAUCGGCACCUACUUUUUCGUGGGGGAUAACGUGGGGAAACUUACGCUACUACCGCAUACGACCUACGGGUGAAAGCCGCGGAUCUUCGGACCUUGCGCGAUUGAAUGAGCCGAUGUCGGAUUAGCUAGUUGGCGGGGUAAAGGCCCACCAAGGCGACGAUCCGUAGCUGGUCUGAGAGGAUGAUCAGCCACACUGGAACUGAGAAACGGUCCAGACUCCUACGGGAGGCAGCAGUGGGGAAUAUUGGACAAUGGGCGCAAGCCUGAUCCAGCCAUACCGCGUGGGUGAAGAAGGCCUUCGGGUUGGAAAGCCCUUUUGUUGGGAAAGAAAAGCAGCAGGUUAAGACCCCGCUGUUCUGACGGUACCCAAAGAAUAAGCACCGGCUAACUUCGUG